CGAGGUGACUAUAGCAUCGGGGGUUCCACCUCUUCCCAUUCCGAACAGAGAAGUUAAGCCCGAUCACGCCGAUGGUACUGCGUAACAGUGGGAGAGUAGGUAGUCGCCGUUU
rnacentral:rRNA from 1 species